rnacentral:rRNA from 1 species
GAUGAACGCUGGCGGCGUGCCUAACACAUGCAAGUCGAGCGACCGACCGGGGCUUGCGCUGGUGCGAUGUAGCCAACGGGUGGGUAACACAUAGGUAACCUACCCCCCUAUCCGGGACAGCUCGAUUAGACUCGGCGUAGUACAGGCUGUGUACUCUUUUCUUCCGCAUGGUGCAUAAGUGAAAGAUCGUCUUCCGUAUCGUGAUAGGUGCACCCGCGCUGCAUUUGUUAGUUGGUGAGGUAACGGCUCACCAAGGCAGCGAUGGGUGGCCGGACUGAGAGGACGAUCAGCCACACUGGAACUGAGACACGGUCCAGACUCCUACGGGAGGCAGCAGUGGGGAAUCUUGCGCAAUGGGCGAAAGCGUGACGCAGCAACGCCGCGUGGGGGAAGAAGGCCUUCGGGUUGUAAACCCCUUUCAGGAGGGAAGAAGGUUUGGCGGUGAAUAGCCGUACGGACUGACGGUACCUACACAAGAAGCCCCGGCUAACUACGUG